CUGCCUCAGGUGCCAAAAUAGCUCCGCUGGCCUUCAUGCACCUUGAAUCACAGAGCGUGGGUGGGUGGAGACCAUUUCCUGUUCUACCUCACGCUGCAAAAUGUCUUGGGCCAGCGCUGGAGAAAGUGGUGGCGGAGAUGUCGGCGGAAAUGGGGCAUUCUUGGUUAUGGAGAAAUGGGACAGAGCAGGUCCUGCCUUGCAAAGGAGCCCCAUUUGAAAAUGUUGGCGGCAACCUGCCUUAAGAGACAAGCAGCAGCUCUUAAUACUGGCGUUUCCAGGAACACUCCAGGCAUAAGGCACGGAUCCUGUCCACAAAGUGACCAAGGAUAAAACCCCCACAGCAUAAAAAAUUGACACACACGCUUCCCACUGCGUGUUCUUUCUCCUCCAGCCCCCUACUUUUCGCAACUGACAUUAAAUUAGAGAGACCA